AGAGUUUGAUCCUGGCUCAGGAUGAACGCUGGCGGCGUGCUUAACACAUGCAAGUCGAACGAUGAAGCCUAGCUUGCUGGGUGGAUUAGUGGCGAACGGGUGAGUAACACGUGAGCAACCUGCCCCUGACUCUGGGAUAAGCGCUGGAAACGGCGUCUAAUACUGGAUACGAACAAGAAUCGCAUGGUUACUUGUUGGAAAGAUUUUUUGGUUGGGGAUGGGCUCGCGGCCUAUCAGCUUGUUGGUGAGGUAAUGGCUCACCAAGGCGUCGACGGGUAGCCGGCCUGAGAGGGUGACCGGCCACACUGGGACUGAGACACGGCCCAGACUCCUACGGGAGGCAGCAGUGGGGAAUAUUGCACAAUGGGCGGAAGCCUGAUGCAGCAACGCCGCGUGAGGGAUGACGGCCUUCGGGUUGUAAACCUCUUUUAGCAGGGAAGAAGCGAGAGCGACGGUACCUGCAGAAAAAGCGCCGGCUAACUACGUGCCAGCAGCCGCGGUAAUACGUAGGGCGCAAGCGUUAUCCGGAAUUAUUGGGCGUAAAGAGCUCGUAGGCGGUUUGUCGCGUCUGCUGUGAAAUCCCGAGGCUCAACCUCGGGCCUGCAGUGGGUACGGGCAGACUAGAGUGCGGUAGGGGAGAUUGGAAUUCCUGGUGUAGCGGUGGAAUGCGCAGAUAUCAGGAGGAACACCGAUGGCGAAGGCAGAUCUCUGGGCCGUAACUGACGCUGAGGAGCGAAAGGGUGGGGAGCAAACAGGCUUAGAUACCCUGGUAGUCCACCCCGUAAACGUUGGGAACUAGUUGUGGGGUCCAUUCCACGGAUUCCGUGACGCAGCUAACGCAUUAAGUUCCCCGCCUGGGGAGUACGGCCGCAAGGCUAAAACUCAAAGGAAUUGACGGGGACCCGCACAAGCGGCGGAGCAUGCGGAUUAAUUCGAUGCAACGCGAAGAACCUUACCAAGGCUUGACAUAUACGAGAACGGGCCAGAAAUGGUCAACUCUUUGGACACUCGUAAACAGGUGGUGCAUGGUUGUCGUCAGCUCGUGUCGUGAGAUGUUGGGUUAAGUCCCGCAACGAGCGCAACCCUCGUUCUAUGUUGCCAGCACGUUAUGGUGGGAACUCAUGGGAUACUGCCGGGGUCAACUCGGAGGAAGGUGGGGAUGACGUCAAAUCAUCAUGCCCCUUAUGUCUUGGGCUUCACGCAUGCUACAAUGGCCGGUACAAUGGGCAGCGAUACCGUGAGGUGGAGCGAAUCCCAAAAAGCCGGUCCCAGUUCGGAUUGAGGUCUGCAACUCGACCUCAUGAAGUCGGAGUCGCUAGUAAUCGCAGAUCAGCAACGCUGCGGUGAAUACGUUCCCGGGUCUUGUACACACCGCCCGUCAAGUCAUGAAAGUCGGUAACACCUGAAGCCGGUGGCCUAACCCUUGUGGAGGGAGCUGUCGAAGGUGGGAUCGGUAAUUAGGACUAAGUCGUAACAAGGUAACC
rnacentral:rRNA from 1 species